rnacentral:rRNA from 1 species
AUUGAACGCUGGCGGCAGGCCUAACACAUGCAAGUCGAGCGGAGCGGCGGACGGGUGAGUAAUGCCUAGGAAUCUGCCUGGUAGCGGGGGAUAACGUCCGGCAACGGGCGCUAAUACCUCAUACAUUCAGUUGAGCCUAGGUCGGUUUAGCUAGUUGGUGGGGUAAGGGACUACCAAGGCGACGAUCCGUAACUGGUCUGAGAGGAUGAUCAGUCACACUGGAACUGAGACACGGUCCAGACGCCUACGGGAGGCAGCAGUGGGGAAUAUUGGACAAUGGGCGAAAGCCUGAUGCAGCCAUGCCGCGUGUGUGAAGAAGGUCUUCGGAUUGUAAAGCACUUUAAGUUGGGAGGCGUUACCAGCAGAAUAAGCACCGGCUAACUUCGUGCCAGCAGCCGCGGUAAUUC